GACGAACGCUGGCGGCGUGCUUAACACAUGCAAGUCGAGCGGUAAGGCCCUUUCGGGGUACGACGAGCGGCGAACGGGUGAGUAACACGUGGGUGACCUGCCCUCCAGCUCUGGGAGUAAGCCUCGGGAAACCGGGUACUAAUACCGGAUAUGACUCCAUGACGCAUGUUGUGGGGUGGAAAGCCUUGUGCGGCUGAGGAUGGGCCCGCGGCCUAUCAGCUUGUUGGUGGGGUGAUGGCCUACCAAGGCGACGACGGGUAGCCGGCCUGAGAGGGCGACCGGCCACACUGGGACUGAGACACGGCCCAGACUCCUACGGGAGGCAGCAGUGGGGGAAUCUUGCGCAAUGGGCGAAAGCCUGACGCAGCGACGCCGCGUGAGGGAUGACGGCCU
rnacentral:rRNA from 1 species